AAGUCAUAUUGAGGGCAACUUCUUAGCAAGCCCAUGUAUCUCUGCCAAGCUUCAUAUAAUGACUCUCUCGCCUCUUGUUGGAAGUUAGCAAUCUUAUUUUUGAGCUU